rnacentral:rRNA from 1 species
UAGUCCACGCCCUAAACGAUGUUUACUCGAUCUUUGCGAUACACUGUAAGGGUCCUAGCGAAAGCGUUAAGUAAACCACCUGGGGAGUACGUUCGCAAGAAUGAAACUCAAAGGAAUUGACGGGGGUCCGCACAAGCGGUGGAGUAUGUGGUUUAAUUCGAUGAUACGCGAAGAACCUUACCUAGGCUCUAAUGCUACACGACCGACUGAGAAAUCAGUCUUUCCUUCGGGACGGGUAGUAAGGUGCUGCAUGGUUGUCGUCAGCUCGUGCCGUGAGGUGUUGGGUUAAGUCCCGCAACGAGCGCAACCCCUAUUCUUAGUUGCCAGCGAGUAAUGUCGGGGACUCUAAGAAGACUGCCUACGCAAGUAGAGAGGAAGGCGGGGAUGACGUCAAAUCAUCAUGGCCUUUAUGCCCAGGGCUACACACGUGCUACAAUGGUAUGGACAAAGGGUUGCUACUUGGUGACAAGAUGCCAAUCCCAAAAACCAUAUCUCAGUUCGGAUUGAAGUCUGCAACUCG